CCUACGGGUGGCAGCAGUGGGGAAUAUUGCACAAUGGGGGAAACCCUGAUGCAGCGACGCCGCGUGAAGGAAGAAGUAUUUCGGUAUGUAAACUUCUAUCAGCAGGGGAGAAAAUGACGGUACCUGCCUAAGAACCCCCGGCUAACUACGUACCAGCAGCCGCGGUAAUACGUAGGGUGCAAGCGUUAUCCGGAUUGACUGGGUGGAAAGGGAGCGUAGGCGGUUUAGCAAAUCAGAAGUGAAAGCCCGGGGUGCAACUGCGGGACUGCGUUUGAAACUGUUGAACUAGAGUGCAGGAGAGGGAAGUGGAAUGCCUGGUGUAGCGGUGAAAUGCGUAGAUAUUAGGAGGAACACCAGUGGCGAAGGCGGCUUACUGGACUGUAAAUGACGCUGAUGCGCGAAAGCGUGGGGAGCAAACAGGAUUAGAUACCCGUGUAGUC
rnacentral:rRNA from 1 species